AGAUGUUCGGUUAAGUCCGGCAACGAGCGCAACCCUUGUCUCCUGUUGCCACCAGCUCGGCUGGGCACUCUGGAGAGACUGCCGAUGUGAAAUCGGAGGAAGGUGGGGAUGACGUCAAGUCCUCAUGGCCCUUAUGCCCAGGGCUACACACGUGCUACAAUGGCUGGUACAAAGAGCUGCGAGACCGCGAGGUCAAGCCAAUCUCAAAAAGCCAGCCUCAGUUCAGAUUGCAGUCUGCAACUCGACUGCAUGAAGGCGGAAUCGCUAGUAAUCGCGGAUCAGCAUGCCGCGGUGAAU
rnacentral:rRNA from 1 species